rnacentral:tRNA from 2 species
GCGGGAGUAGCUCAGAUGGUAGAGCAUCAGCCUUCCAAGCUGAGGGUCGCGGGUUCGAAUCCCGUCUCCCGCU